rnacentral:rRNA from 1 species
GUGUGACUGCGUACCUUUUGUAUAAUGGGUCAGCGACUUAUAUUCUGUAGCAAGGUUAACCGAAUAGGGGAGCCGGAGGGAAACCGAGUCUUAAUUGGGCGUUAAGUUGCAGGGUAUAGACCCGAAACCCGGUGAUCUAGCCAUGGGCAGGUUGAAGGUUGGGUAACACUAACUGGAGGACCGAACCGACUAAUGUUGAAAAAUUAGCGGAUGACCUGUGGCUGGGGGUGAAAGGCCAAUCAAACCGGGAGAUAGCUGGUUCUCCCCGAAAGCUAUUUAGGUAGCGCCUCGUGAAUUCAUCUCCGGGGGUAGAGCACUGUUUCGGCUAGGGGGCCAUCCCGGCUUACCAACCCGAUGCAAACUGCGAAUACCGGAGAAUGUUAUCACGGGAGACACACGGCGGGUGCUAACGUCCGUCGUGAAGAGGGAAACAACCCAGACCGCCAGCUAAGGUCCCAAAGUCAUGGUUAAGUGGGAAACGAUGUGGGAAGGCCCAGACAGCCAGGAUGUUGGCUUAGAAGCAGCCAUCAUUUAAAGAAAGCGUAAUAGCUCACUGGUCGAGUCGGCCUGCGCGGAAGAUGUAACGGGGCUAAACCAUGCACCGAAGCUGCGGCAGCGAC